rnacentral:tRNA from 1 species
GGAGUUGUAGCUCAGUGGUAAAGCACUUGCCUCACAUGCAGGAUGUCCUGGGUUCGGUCCCCAGUACCACUC